UGAUUGAGGUUAAUAGAUACGGGGAA
rnacentral:sRNA from 1 species